rnacentral:rRNA from 1 species
UGAAUACGAGACGCUAAGGCGUCGAAGUAGUGUAUGUCAUACUUCCAAGAAAAGCUUGCACUGUCAUAGAUAAAAAACGCCUGUACCAUAACCGACACAGGUGGGUAGGUAGAGUAUACUAAGGGGCGCGAGAUCACUCUCUCUAAGGAACUCGGCAAAAUAACUCCGUAACUUCGGGAGAAGGAGUGCCUUAUUCGUAAGGUUGCAAUAACAAGAACCAAGCAACUGUUUAUCAAAAACACAGGUCUCCGCUAAGUCGUAAGACGAUGUAUGGGGGCUGACGCCUGCCCAGUGCCAGAAGGUUAAAGAAGUUGGUUAGCAAUUGCGAAGCUGAUAACUGAAGCCCUGGUGAACGGCGGCCGUAACAAUAACGGUCCUAAGGUAGCGAAAUUCCUUGUCGGGUAAGUUCCGACCCGCACGAAAGGCGUAAUGAUUUGGAUACUGUCUCGGAGAGGGGCUCGGUGAAAUAGACUUGUCUGUGAAGAUGCGGACUACCUGCAUCAGGACAGAGAGACCCUAUGAAGCUUUACUGUAACUUGAAAUUGAAAUUGGACUUUAUUCGCGCAGUAUAGGUGGGAGGCGUUGAUUAUAAUCUUGUGGGAUUAUUGGAGCCAUCAGUGAGAUACCACUCUUGUAAUGUUAGAUUUCUAACUUUGAAUCAUUAUCUGGUCAAAGAACAGUUUCAGGCGGGCAGUUUGACUGGGGCGGUCGCCUCCUAAACGGUAACGGAGGCGUACAAAGGUUUCCUCUGAACGGUUAGAAAUCGUAUCUAGAGUGUAAAGGCAUAAGGAAGCUUGACUGUGAGACCUACAAGUCGAGCAGGGACGAAAGUCGGUCUUAGUGAUCUGACGGUACUGAGUGGAAAGGCCGUCACUCAACGGAUAAAAGUUACUCUAGGAUAACAGGCUGAUCUCCCCCAAGAGUUCACAUCGACGGGGAGGUUUGGCACCUCGAUGUCGGCUCAUCGCAUCCUGGGGCGGUAGUACGUCCCAAGGGUUGGGCUGUUCGCCCAUGAAAGCGGUACGCGAGCUGGGUUCAGAACGUCGUGAGACAGUUCGGUCCAUAUCCGGUGUAGGCGUUAGAAUAUUGAGAGGAGCCUUCUUUAGUACGAGAGGACCGAGAAGGACAUACCUCUGGUGUACCAGUUAUCGUGCCAACGGUAAACGCUGGGUAGCUAUGUAUGGAGUGGAUAACCGCUGAAAGCAUCUAAGUGGGAAGCCCACCUCAAGAUAAGUAUUCUCA